rnacentral:tRNA from 1 species
CGCGGGGUGGAGCAGCCUGGUAGCGUCGUCGGGCUCAUAACCCGAAGGUCGUCGGUUCAAAUCCGGCCCCCGCAACCA